GACGAACGCUGGCGGCAUGCCUUACACAUGCAAGUCGAACGGCAGCACGGGGCAACCUGGUGGCGAGUGGCGAACGGGUGAGUAAUGCAUCGGAACGUACCUUUCAGUGGGGGAUAACGUAGCGAAAGUUACGCUAAUACCGCAUAUUCUGUGAGCAGGAAAGCAGGGGAUCGCAAGACCUUGCGCUGAUUGAGCGGCCGAUGUCAGAUUAGCUAGUUGGUGAGGUAAAGGCUCACCAAGGCGACGAUCUGUAGCGGGUCUGAGAGGAUGAUCAGCCACACUGGAACUGAGACACGGUCCAGACUCCUACGGGAGGCAGCAGUGGGGAAUUGUGGACAAUGGGGGCAACCCUGAUCCAGCCAUGCCGCGUGAGUGAAGAAGGCCUUCGGGUUGUAAAGCUCUUUCGGCCGGGAAGAAAUCGCACGGGCUAAUACCCUGUGUGGAUGACGGUACCGGGAUAAGAAGCACCGGCUAACUACGUGCCAGCCGCCGCAGUAAAAC
rnacentral:rRNA from 1 species